UGGGUUGAUGAGCGUGAAGCCUUCGCUCGGUUGGAUUUUUCUUCAUUGCUACUCUUGGCUUGCAGGAAUUCCUCAUUUGAGGCAUCGUAAUUGUUUGGUCUGCCCUUGACAAGUUGGUGUGAAGGUUGGGUCUUGCGCAAUGGGAACCUUGUGAACCAUGUCAGGUCCGGAAGGAAGCAGCAUUAAGCAGUGUUCUCAUGUGCCGCGAGUCGCCUGGCCCGAGCUAACUAUCAGGGUAACGCAGAUGAUUGCAUGUCGAUGUGAGGUGCGCGACACUAA
rnacentral:SRP_RNA from 1 species